rnacentral:piRNA from 1 species
UGACAUGUAGCUAGCUAGGGUAAUCU